GUUGCCUUUGAACUUUUGCUCAGGACUCUGCAACUUGCAUGAGCUAUACCCGAUUCCUGUAGCUUCUAAUAGUUUUAGGUGCUUUAAUCUAUUGUAAUAGGACCUAGAUUCAUUAUCUACUUCUUAAGGGUGAUAGAAGUUUUUGCAUGGAUUGGUGGUAGAGUGAAGAGGUCUAAGGAAAGUAAAAGUCAAGACAGUUGUGUAUUUGAUUUUAGUUGAGAUUGUAGAUGAGGAGGAGAACACUGAACAAGAAUUGGUUAGGAAGGUUAAGAAAGAUGCAGAGUUAGCGAUUUUGAGAUUGUAGCAAGUAAAGUGUAUCAAAGACGAGGAUAAGUUUUAUAGGCUAGCCAAGGUCAAAGAAAGGAAGGUCCCUGGCCUUGAGUAGGUGAAGUGUAUCAAAGAUGAGAAGAUAGUUUUAUUGGAAGAAGCACAUAUUAGGUAAAGAUGAUUGGCGCAAGUGAAAUGAAUCAAAGACAGGAUAAGUUUUGCAGGCUAGCCAAUGUUAAAGAAAGGAAGGUCACUGACAUUAAGACAUACUUUCAUUAACUCUUGAAUGAAGAGGAGAAUAGGAACAUUGUAUCGAAGCAAGGUGAUUGAAAUGGAGACUUACAUUCAGUGUAUAAUAAGAAUAUGCCAUUAAAACUUAAAGGUAUGUUUUACAAAGCGGUGGCAUUAAUGACUAUGUUGCAUCGGGUAAAAUGUUGGUUAGUUAAGAAUUCUUAUGUCCAAAUCAAACUUUGCAGAUAGGAGUAAGGUUUGCAUAUACCUUACCCUCAUUAGUCCUUCCUUGUGAGAAUUCAUUGGGAUUGUUGUUGUAAUAGGAGGUGAUUAAGUUUUAAUCUAAUUAUUACCUAUAUUUUAUCAAUUCUAAUGUCUAGCUUCUAUAUUUAAUUGUUUUUCUUAGUUUUUAUUUCCUUGAUCUUUAGUUUUAUUGUUAUCACCUAGUCUAAUUC
rnacentral:lncRNA from 1 species